rnacentral:lncRNA from 1 species
AUUUUUUAAGGAAGAAUGUACAAUGAUUAAAAAGAUAAUCUAAUACAUUGAACCUUUAAGGAGAAAUUAGCAUUUAAUGGUACAAAGAAGCAAAAAACUAUUUGACAGGUGGGGAGAAGACAACCCCUUCUCCUAAGUUUUGCUCUUGGUCAUACAUGUCAACCCUCUGGUGUUCUCACUUCUGAUGCAAACCAAUCAAUUCGUCAUGAUCUCUUUUUUCUUACGCAGACCAAUUACAAGUACUGGCAUUAUUGAGAAUCAUUUAUCUUUCCACUUAUGGUGGGAGGACGCGAUCAACAUUUGGCAUAUCUUCAAGUUGACUAAGCAUAAUAAACCACAAGGGGUGAGUAUCCAUAAAUCAGCAUGUUCAAGAGGUGCUCAGUCUUAACAUAGAUGCUCAUGUAAACACAUGUGAGUUGAUUCAAAUCAAAAUUGUUCCAGUUUUGCACCCAUCUCUAAAAAAUGGAUCAUCCUGCAUGAAAGCAAAUAGGUUUAGCUAAGUAGCUUAUUUUCAUUGGAUGCAAAGCACUGCUAAAAAGC